rnacentral:rRNA from 1 species
UACGUAGAAGACGAGUGUUAUUCAUCUUUAACAGGUUUAAAGGGUACCUAGACGGAAAAUCAAGCCAUAGUAGGGACUUAAUUUUCUAGAGUUUUAUAGGUGAAGAUCGAAUUACCUGAGGAGCGAUGGAAUGCAUUGAUACAGGUAAGACGGAUAGCAGCGAAGGCAAUCUUCUAUGUAAUAACUGACGUUGAGGGACGAA